rnacentral:rRNA from 1 species
GAUCCUGGCUCAGGAUGAACGCUGGCGGCGUGCAUAACACAUUCAAGUCGAACGAGGCAGCAAUGCCUAGUGGCGGACGGGUGAGUAACGCGUGAGCAACCUGCCCUUGCGUGGGGGAUACCAUCUGGAAACGGAUGUUAAUACCGCAUAAAGUACAAGCGACCGCAUGGUCGUAGUACCAAAGAUUUAUUGCGAAAGGAUGGGCUCGCGUCCCAUUAGNUAGUUGGUGAGGUGACGGCCC